rnacentral:rRNA from 1 species
CAGCCGCCGCGGUAAUACAGAGGGUGCAAGCGUUAAUCGGAUUUACUGGGCGUAAAGGGCGCGUAGGUGGUUAUUUAAGUGAGAUGUGAAAGCCCCGGGCUUAACCUGGGAACUGCAUCUUAUACUGGCAAGCUAGAGUGUGUCAGAGGAUGGUGGAAUUCCCGGUGUAGCGGUGGAAUGCGUAGAGAUCGGGAGGAACAUCAGUGGCGAAGGCGGCCAUCUGGGACAACACUGACGCUGAGGCACGAAAGCGUGGGGAGCAAACAGGAUUAGAUACCCCCGUAGUCCCUGUCUCUUAUAC